rnacentral:rRNA from 1 species
CCAUCCUCCAAGGCUAAAUACUCCUGACUGACCGAUAGUGAACCAGUACCGUGAGGGAAAGGCGAAAAGAACCCCGGCGAGGGGAGUGAAAAAGAACCUGAAACCGUGUACGUACAAGCAGUGGGAGCCCCACCACUAAGCCAGUGGUGAACUCCACAUCCGCAUCCUUUGCUGAGGAUACGGUUAACGGAGCGAAAGCGACGUUCAACCGCAAAACAAGCAGAGGGGGCUUAGUGGUGGGGUGACUGCGUACCUUUUGUAUAAUGGGUCAGCGACUUAUAUUCUGUAGCAAGGUUAACCGAAUAGGGGAGCCGGAGGGAAACCGAGUCUUAAUUGGGCGUUAAGUUGCAGGGUAUAGACCCGAAACCCGGUGAUCUAG